rnacentral:tRNA from 1 species
GCCACCUUAGCUCAGUUGGUAGAGCGACGCUUUCGUAAAGCGUAGGCCGCCGGUUCAAUCCCGGCAGGUGGCUCCA